rnacentral:rRNA from 1 species
UACGUAGGUGGCAAGCGUUAUCCGGAAUCAUUGGGCGUAAAGGGUGCGUAGGUGGCGUACUAAGUCUGUAGUAAAAGGCAAUGGCUCAACCAUUGUAAGCUAUGGAAACUGGUAUGCUGGAGUGCAGAAGAGGGCGAUGGAAUUCCAUGUGUAGCGGUAAAAUGCGUAGAUAUAUGGAGGAACACCAGUGGCGAAGGCGGUCGCCUGGUCUGUAACUGACACUGAGGCACGAAAGCGUGGGGAGCAAAUAGGAUUAGAUACCCUAGUAGUCCACGCCGUAAACGAUGAGAACUAAGUGUUGAAGGAAUUCAGUGCUGCAGUUAACGCAAUAAGUUCUCCGCCUGGGGAGUAUGCACGCAAGUGUGAA